GAAGAAAUCUGCAAAUUGGCAGGAUUAUACCCAUUGAUACUGGAAUCUGUCUCUAUCUGGAGUAGCACAGCAGCAGCUGGGCUUCUUAGACCACGUGGCUUAAAUGCCCUUGAGACUUUAACGCAAACAGGUUGGAGAAAUCACAUCUUUCUAACAGCCUCCAGCCACGGGCUUUCCUUUUCUCCUUGGUCUUUCACACACUGAAAUGCCCUGCUCUGACAGCUCCUGCGUGGCUGAGCUGUGGGAUCAGAAUCAGGGGAGAAGAGGAGAGAAAUCUUACCUGUUCUUUCAGUGAGCAAAGAAAUGCCCUCUGUUUUGGAGGAUCUGUUUUCUUUGAUCUCUCUGGGACAGAAUUCAUUGCUAUCACCACACUGCAGUAGCUGAGCUCCCUGUAUGUUGACGCUGAACCAUCCCAGCAUCUCCAUCUAUGUGCCCGUCACAUGCAAGUCCCCGUGUGCAGGAAUGGGAAGGAGAUACUUGGCUGGCACUGCAAAGGAAGGACUACAUUGAGCUGUGGCCGGGACUACAGUCUCCUGUGGACCCUCUGGGUUGCUUCCCUUCCCUACUUAAGCCUCAAAGCUAAAACACUUCUAUGCAUUUCUCUUGUCUUUCCAGGCUUGGGUAUUCUCCCAGCGCUUCCAAACCCUUUGGAAAGCAUUCUGCCAAGCCUCGGGCUGUUCCUAGGGGCCAGGAUUUCAUUCUUGGCUUGCCUUUAGUCUAAACAACCUUUGUUACUUUCCUUCUUUUCCCCCAAGGAAUGUAUUAAUUUUCUUAACAUUUCUCUCUGCCUAAAAUUAGACUGUCGCUUUCCUUAUCUCUGACCAGCUCAGUGGUGCUAUACUUUUCCAUUUCUUGCCUUUUUUUUUUUUUUUUCUCUCUCUCUGUGAUUUAUUUCUGGAAAAUGUGGCAUGCAGUGACUGUUGGCUAACGCUGGAAAAGAAGAUAAGACAAAGUACAAACUGGACGCAGACUUGCUUUCUUUUCAGGGAUGGUCAUUUAUUUGUCCUUCAGCCGAACCUGGGAAUCUCUUCCAAGGCCUUACCUUCAUUUCUUAACCCUGAAUAAAAAUUGGUAUCUUUGAUGUGGGGAGAUGAAAAAACAUGAUGCUAUCUUCUGGGGUGGUCACAUCAAACUGGGGUCUGCACAAGGUGCCCUGCCCUGCACGCUGGUAGCCUGGUGAUGUUCAUUGUCAUUUUUGGCUUCAAAAGGGUAAAGCUGGUUGCACCCGAACCCAAGCUCUGCCUAGCAAUUCCCUUCUGCAGUUUUAGGCUUAAGCUGGCAAUUAAUGCUGUUAUCUUUCCAAUCCGUCAGCACGUUUGUCAUGCAGAGAACACUGCUGACUUGGAGUGGCCCCAGACCCAGCCUGGGGGAGCGGACGGGGGAGAAGGAAAUGGAGUCAGAGUGGGAGAGAGGCCAGUCACCUCCAGCAUUUAUGAAACUUAUGCUCUGUUAUAUACUGCAAUUAUAUUGUUUUCCAAAUCCAGUGGGAACUGUUGUUUUUCAUGCAAUAAAUAUCUUCCUGCAGUGCUGGCAGCUGUAAUAUGGCAGCUCUGACAACUUGAAAGUGAAACUCAUUCCAGUAACAUGAUUCUGAUACUAGUGGCUUUGCAUUAGCUAAGCUGAGAGAAAGAAUCAAAAAAGAUAAGCAAAUCGGAUGUUUGAAUUCCUUUCAUUUUCACUCACAGCAACUCCUUUCCUAGUGAUAAAGCCCAACACUUUGCUAGCAGUGUGUUUGACAGCAUUUUGCUAACAGAGCCUUGAAUGAUGCUGAAGGAAUCUCUCAUGACCAGCAGAUCCAUUGCCAGUGUUUUUUAAAGAUCCUUGCCAUUUUUUUUAUAGUUCAAACAUUACAGGGCACGAUGACAUAGGUAAUCCUUCAUUCCUUGAACACCGAUGAUAUUUUGUGAUGCUAUGAUUUUAUUUUCCCAUCUUUCAGCAUUUUUUGGGGUCUGGGAUUUGCAGGAUAUUGUACUGAUAUUCCUGUAUAUCAGGAAUCAAAUGAAUAACAAAUACUUAAUAUUGAAAACCAGCAUGCAUAGAAUGAUAGGAUUAACCUGAGAUCGUAAAGCACCAAAGCCUUUCUUGGUUCUUAGCAGAACAGCCCUAAGGUUGGAUGCUUCUUGGCACAAGUGGGAACGAGUAUCCAGAGCAUUUCACUGUGAGAUACUGAACCUAAGCUACAUGCAGUACCGCACUGUUAUAAUUAAACAAGUGUCAUUUCACAUGGAAAGGUUUAUGAACUAAUGUCACUGGUUGCAAGCUAAGUUUUCACAUCCAUAGGGAGGUUUCUCUAUGCAAAAUAUCACUAGUUCAGUCCAACAUCAUACCUUCAGGUAAAUCAAUAGGAUCUGUGUGUACAAACAAGCCCACUAACAUAUGUUAGACCAGAUGAUAAAAACACAAUACAAAUGCAACUGUCUCUCCAGCAUUCCUAGCAUGUAACAUCCCUAGCAUGUAGUUCCCUCGGCAAAACCCUUACAACUAUGCAGAUGAUACAGAUAGAGCUGUGAUGACAAGAUGUACCUUCCUCCUCCUUCAUUAACGCUUACAUCCACUGUUUAACUACAUGGUUAAUGUAUCAAAAACCUCUGGUUCUUCUGGGUUGACCCAGACUUGUCCUUACCUACCAGUAAAAGACAGUGUAGUGGGAUGCACUGCCUUUGAAGGGCAGGAGUGGCGCAGGUGUGCUCUGGUGCACAAUGUGGCAGAGCUAUGGGACCUUACCAGCCCAUGUUGUUCUGGUGGGCUACGAGAUCUUCUCACAGCUCUUGAUCAUUGUCACUGCAGAUCUUAGACUGGACUCUGACAACAAAGGCAAGUGUGAACCCAAGGGAAUAUAAUUUCAUAUUUCCCAGUUGAAAUGGACGUAUUUUGCUCACCAAACUGUUCUUCCCCGGCCUUGCACAUCAACUGAGUGCUGCUGUUACUUGAGUGUGAAAUACAUUCGUAGUUCACGCACUCUAUCUUAGUUGACAAGCUGUGUGUUGACACUGUUGAUACAAAAUUAAACCACUGGGUUUUGAUCCUUUGUGUCCUACAAUUUAGAAGCCACAGUUGAGUUCAAGAGGCACUCAGAUGAGAAUAAAGUUUGCAACAAUACUCUCUUCUAAUGCAAGAAUCUUGCAAGUACAUUUAUAAUUAUUCGUUUGUUAGCAGAAAUAUUAACACAGACAUGAUAAAAAAGGUUUAUUUUCCUGCCAGUCCAUGUGUAUACCUUAAUUGCAUAUGAAAGAUACUCUGAGAAUCCUCUCUUUCAUGUAAAUAUACUCAAUGGUUAGUAAAUAUUAAUGCUGCUCUCUGGCUCCAGCUGUGAGAAGAUUUUAUUGUCGUGUUAGAGGUUUUGAUUAGCUUCCAAAAGGUUUCACAGUGUCUACUCUAUUUAUCUGAAACAUACAGAACUGCUGCAGGCAAGGGCUGCAACCAAGAAAAUAGUACACUUUCUCCCAUUGUUUUUAAUUUAGUCUGUGCAAGUAUAAUUAUUUCUGCCUGUUUAAUGCUCUCAUGUCACUCUCUAUGAAAUUCCAAAGGCAGGAAAGAAGCUGCCUAGUAUCUUUUAGUUCCAGUUUUCGGUAGACAGCACUGAAGUAAAAGAACCGUGUCACGUCUUCCCAUUAUUCUCCCUAAUUGUCACAGCAAUUUACCCAUGAGCUGACGUGAUAGCCAUAGAGGGAAAUGGAGCAAAACCUUUUGCAUAACUCAGUGCUCAAGGAAAUCCUAGACACCGAUGUGAGGGGGCAGCUCGGUGUCUGUCGGCCAGCGAUGCAAGGCUCUCCCUGCUGAGAUCAGCUGACGAGCUGCAUGGGAGAAACCCCUCGCUGCAGUUUGAGAGCAUGCCCUGGCUCUACCAUAUUCAAGGAGGAGCAUUAAAAAUGCAUUGUCAGCCCUAGAAGGAAACCUUAUCAUUGCUGUGCAGCCCGGACACCAUGCGUUACCAAUAGGGCAUAUAGGAGGUGCUUCUAUCGCCAUGGGGUUGUGUUGUACUUGUGGUGCUUGGGAAGGGUGUAUUUGGUGCCUUCGGUGUUGUGUGGCUGGUGUUAGAAGCAGAAAACUCAAGCACAACUGGAUAAAGAAUAGUUCUAAGAAGGGCAGGGGAUCAUUCUGAAGAUUUCACAGGAAAACAAGAAUUAGAAUCAAAAUAAAGAAAACUGAGAGGAAAGAUAACAAAAAAAAAAAAAAGAAAGUGAACACUGCAACCCUCCCAAAGCCAGAACAGCUUUCUAUCCAUGCAUGAGCAUCCCGGCUGGAGCGCAACCAAGCUGCUUCCAUCAGACCUGCACACCUCCCAGGUGUGUCUGCUGGAGCUUAUACCUAUGCAUAACUUGAACACUUUAUUCUAAAAGGAAAAGCAAUAAAAAUCAAAGCAGGCUUGUAUACAAGUUAAAUCUUCUGUUAAGGAGCGGUAAUGUUAUUUGUUUUCAAUCAAAUGAGGGCAAUAAAAGCCAAGAUGUGUAAUGAAACCCCACCUGGUGUGUAUCGGCCUUGACACAGCCUUUUUAUUCAACAUAGCCUUUGCUUAAUGGAAAUCCCUGGCAAAGAGCCAGAGCCAGGGCUGUAAUGUUUGUAAAUAGCUGUUGCUUUCAGCCUGACUUUCCCCAGAGAAAACCAUGCAGGAAUAAAAAAAGUGAAGAUUCGGUAACAGCGUAAUUGCGUCACAUAACGGCCACCCCCGGGAAGCCAUCUGAAGUUUUAAUGCUCUAAAAUGAAUGCUGAAUUCACUCGUUUUCUCUAACAAAGGUGGCUGUUGCGGUGGCUGCACACACACCAGAGGGCUGCUGAAGGAAAGCGGAACAAAUGCCAUUUGCAAUUCAAGUGCCUUUAGACCCCAGAUGCUGCUGCCUCACAACCACUCUUCUGCAACCUUGAUGAAGGAUGGUAAUUAUCCCUCCAGUACUGGUGACCAGCACAGGCCCGGCCCUAAUCUCUUGCUGAUGUGGGCGACAGACCUGCUCAAGGACACAGAGGCACAGGUUGGUGCCAGGCCAUUGAAAUGACACCGAGUCAGGCUGGAUUUGACUCAUACUCCUGGUCCUGCAUGCUAGAAUAAAUAUCUGCAGCUCUGGCAUGACAGAGAUGGGGCUUCAGAACCUUCCCAUCUUGUACUGGGGCUUGCUCAAUAUUGGGAUCCCCUCUUGGCAGCCAGGAGAACCCCAGAGCCACCUCAAGCUUUCCGAUCCACUUCUUUUAACCUGGCACUCGACUAUAAACAGCUGCCGGUGGCACACAUGGUAUAUUAAGCUUCUGGAGAAAUGAACUAGUUUUCAUCAACAGCCCAGCCAUCCUCUUGCUGUGUUUCCAGCCACUGCUAUUGCCUUGGAUCUCCAGACGCUGACCUAGCCUCUGCUUGGCAUUCAAGUUGUAACACCUUUGACACUAACAACCCACUCAGGAAGCCACAGGAAUAAGUUAUGUUCUCUGAAUGACGUGUUUCGGCCUUUAUUCUGCUCACGAACAUGGACCAGAGUUUCAAGUUAUCAGCCGUUUCUUACAGAACACUACUCAUUCAGAUGUUCCUCUUGGCAUUAAGCUAUAAACAUGGGGCCUACCAUGAGGGCCUACUCGUAUGUUGAGGGGUGAUAUGCUACUACCUGAGCCAUGCCACCUGCUCAAAGAAAGGGAGAGAGUAACAGCAUCUCCCAGCUAACCUCAGGCAUAGUCUCUUCAGGGGGCAGCAGGCUGAGUGCAAAGUCAAAUUUGCCUUAGAGGAAAAUCUAUCCAAGUGGGGAUUCUGAUGGAGAGAGAAUUUCAUCCAACUAUUCCGUGAUGUGGUGUGUGCCUGCCUUGCUGCACCCAGCAGCAGCUGCUUCACUGCUUCACUGAUCAAAGCUGGCAAGUUAUUUUAGACAUUUUGUAGGAGCUGGUUACCCACAGUAUGCUUCAUGUUCAGUUGGCCUUGGUCAUACCCACAUCCGGGGCAUGGUGCAGAGUUAGGCUGCCUAGUGACCUUGCCAGGUGGGAGAUGGCCCUUGGUGCAAAGACUGGCUGGGGAUACACUGAUAGUGAUGAGGAACUCCUGUUUGGUACUGCUGAUGAAGGCCAUCUCUCCCACAUGCAAAUCCAUGUUGUCACAGAACUGUACACUGAACUUGAGGAGCAGUCCCACCAUCAUCGCUGAACAUACCUCUAGGUAAUGGCAGACUGUGGCUGGCAUGAAUCUGCCCUUGUCAUCCAAGGUGCAAACUUCUGCUCUGCUGCUUACCCCUAGCAGCCACAGAGCUGGGCAAGGAGGCAGCAUUCCCCAUCAUGUGCUUACAUUAAAACGCAAUCCUACAUCUUCAAGCUAGGUGUAUGAACAAUAACCUCAAGUCACUGUCUGAUGUCCUGCUGUUGGACUAGGAUUGCUUCAUGUGAAGAGCGUUUUAUCAAAAUAAAUUGCACUGUACUGUGUCC
rnacentral:lncRNA from 1 species